UGUAGUAUCUAAUUAUGCCAACUCAUAAUUUUGCCUCACUAGCAACAUGUAGCUGUCCUCCGGGCAUAUAUUAUUUUAUAUCCUUUAUAUCACGGUUCAGAUCCUUGGACUAGUAUAUUUGUUCUCACUAGUAGGACAACUUUACAGCAACAGCAGUGGGGGAAAAAAAAACCUAACUAGUAAGACGGAGUCCUUCAACCAACGAAAUCUAGAGCUGACUGUAAAUGGACAUCAAAUAAAUGCCCAAACCCACUCCAGGUUAUUAUGUCUAUCGUUGCCUGUAUCGCAGAUGUGAGGAGGUGAAAGAGAUGUGAAAUCAUGCGCUUGCGAGAGAGGCGUUUGGCAACCGACAUGUUAUCACAGCAGAAAUCGCAUGAGGAAGGAAGGUAGCAGUUCAGUUUUAAACUACACCAUCUUUACAUACUCUCACCGGACACAACAUUAGGUAAACCUGCACAAGACUAGAAAACGGCGCACUGCAGCAAAGUGGAGACUGUGGAGCGUGUGUAUAGUACUGAAACAGCAAAACGGUAUAAAGAGAAAAAUCCUUAGCGAUGUUUGCAAAAGAGGGUGUCCCCACUGCACUUGCAUGAAACAAGAACAUGAGGUUCAA